CCUCUCUCAGGGUCACACCUGGAGAGUUCCCAGUACUCUACCAGUCUCGACUACAGGAGGGAGAGUCAGGCAGAGACAUAUCCACUCCAUUCCUAGCUUGGCUAAGGGCUAGUCAGUGGAAGGCAAUCCGCUACAAAA